rnacentral:rRNA from 1 species
GACGAACGCUGGCGGCGUGCUUAACACAUGCAAGUCGAACGGAAAGGCCCUGCUUUUGUGUGGUGCUCGAGUGGCGAACGGGUGAGUAACACGUGAGUAACCUUCCCUUUACUUUGGGAUAACUUCAGUAAACUGGUGCUAAUACCGGAUAGGUGCUCCUGCUGCAUGGGGGGGUUUGGAAAGUUUCGGCGGUUGGGGAUGUACUCGCGGCUUAUCAGCUUGUUGGUGGGGUAGUGGCUUACCAAGGCUUUGACGGGUAGCCGGCCUGAGAGGGUGACCGGCCACAUUGGGACUGAGAUAGGGAGCAGACUCGUACGGGAGGCAGAAGUGGGGAAUAUUGCACAAUGGGCGGAAGCCUGAUGAAGCAACGCCGGGUGCGGGAUGACGGCCUUCGGGUUGUAAACAGCUUUAGCCUGUGACGAAGCGUGAGUGACGGUAAUGGGUAAAGAAGCACCGGCUAACUACGUG